UGGCGGAAUCGCGGUUCCGGGCCCCGCCAGCGGCCUCGGCCCCUCCCUUUCCGGCGCGGCGCGCAAGCGUAUACCUCGCUUCCGGUUCCGGCACCGGCGGCUGCAGCGGAGACGCGGCUUGGCCGCCACCAUGUGGCAUGAGGCCCGGAAACAUGAACGGAAGCUUCGGGGCAUGAUGGUGGACUACAAGAAGCGUGCUGAGCGCCGCCGAGAAUACUAUGAGAAAAUUAAAAAGGACCCCGCCCAGUUCCUGCAGGUGCACGGCCGGGCCUGCAAGGUGCACCUUGAUUCAGCGGUGGCCCUGGCUGCUGAGAGCCCUGUCAACAUGAUGCCUUGGCAGGGAGACACCAACACCAUGAUCGACCGGUUUGAUGUCCGUGCCCACCUGGACUACAUCCCCGAGUACACCCCCCCGCUGCUGACAACUAUCUCUCCAGAACAGGAGUCUGAUGAGCGCAAGUGCAACUAUGAGCGGUACCGAGGCCUGGUGCAGAAUGACUUUGCUGGCAUCUCGGAGGAACAGUGUCUGUACCAGAUCUACAUAGAUGAGCUCUACGGGGGCCUGCAGAAACCCAACGAGGAAGAGAAGAAAAAGCUGGCAGAGAAGAAGGCCUCCAUCGGCUACACUUACGAGGACAGCACCGUGGCCGAGGUGGAGAAGGCCUUGGAGAAGCCGGAGGAGGAGGAGUCGCCUGGGGAGGAGGAGAGCAACUCGGAUGAGGACGAGGUCAUCCCCGACAUUGAUGUGGAAGUGGACGUGGACGAGCUGAACCAAGAGCAGGUGGCCGACCUGAAUAAGCAGGCCACGACCUACGGCAUGGCCGACGGGGACUUUGUGAGGAUGCUGCGGAAGGACAAGGAGGAGGCUGAGGCCAUCAAGCACGCCAAGGCCCUGGAGGAGGAGAAAGCCAUGUAUUCGGGCCGCCGAUCCCGGCGACAGAGGAGGGAAUUCCGCGAGAAGAGGCUGAAGGGUCGUAAGAUCAGCCCCCCAAGCUACGCACGCAGAGACAGCCCCACCUAUGACCCCUACAAGCGGUCACCGUCCGAGUCCAGCUCCGAAUCUCGCUCCCGCUCGCGGUCACCGACGCCGGGCCGGGAGGAGAAGAUCACCUUCAUCACCAGCUUCGGGGGCAGUGACGAGGAGGCGGCGGCCGCUGCUGCCGCCGCCGCCGGUGCCGGGGCUGCGCCGGGGAAACCUCGGGCUGGCCAGCCCCCGAUGGCCCCGCAGCCAGGCGGCGGCCCCGCGCCAGGUCGUAACGCCAGCUCCCGCCGCCGCUCCAGCUCCUCUUCCUCCAGCACCUCCAGCACUUCCACCUCCACUUCACGGUCGAGCUCCCGCUCUCGCCGGGGGGGCCACUACCGGCCGGGUCGACACAUGCGCUCCCGCUCCCGUUCGCGCUCCCGCCGCUACUCGCGCUCCCGGAGUCGGGGCCGGCGUCACUCUGGAGGCGGCUCGCGAGACGGGCGCCGCUACUCCCGCUCACCCACCCGCCGUGGCUACGGGGCCCGGCGGCGAUCCAGGAGCCGCUCCCGGUCGGGGGAGCGCUACCGCCGAGGGGGCCGGGGCCCGCGGCAUCGGAGCAGCAGUCGCAGCAGCUGGUCCCCCAGCCUGUCCCGCAGCCGCAGCCGUAGCCACAGCCACAGCCACAGCCAUAGUCGCAGCCACAGCCGCAGUCGCAGCCACAGCCGCAGCCGCAGCCGUAGCCGUACCCACUCCCCAUCGCCCCUGAGGGAGAAGCUGACGAGGCCGGUGGCGUCCCCAGCCGUGGGGGAGAAGUUGAAAAAGGCCGACACAGCUUCGGGUAAAGAGACAGGAGCUGCCAAAGUCAGUAAGAAUUUGGAACUCGCCCGUCUAACUCCCAGCGGCGGCACCACCCAGAGCCAAGCACCUACAGUGGGGAUGGGGUGGGGGUGGGGCAUUGGGGGGCCCCCAGGGCAGGAACCCCGGGGCUUGUUGGGGUCAACCCAAACAGCUUGGAGCCCCUGGCUUAGGUGCCUCUGGGACCAGGGGGUGCAGACCCGUGGGCCCUGGCCCCACUUGGGGUGGUCACCUCUCCUGAGGGCCUUCCCCUCCCGUUCUCUUCCUACCUCCUUCAAAAGCCAGGAGCUCUGUGAUGAGGUUGGAGCGGGCGACCUGAGCACCCACCACCCCUCCCCUCUCUCAUUUCCCCACAGCCCAAGCUGACCCCCCAAGAGAAGCUGAAAUUGAGGAUGCAGAAGGCCCUCAACAGGCAGUUCAAGGCGGAUAAGAAGGCGGCGCAGGAGAAAAUGAUC